GGAGAACUGAAACAUCUAAGUACCCGGAGGAGAAGAAAACAAAAGUGAUUCCGUUAGUAGUGGCGAGCGAACGCGGAUUAGCCCAAACCAAUAUUGUUACGGCAAUAUUGGGGUUGUAGGACCACAACAUUCAAAAUAAAUUGAAUUAGAAUACUUUGGAAAGAGUAACCAUAGAGGGUGAUAGUCCUGUAUAAGUAAGAUUUAUAGCGAUAGUGGUAUCCUGAGUAGUGCGGGGCACGUGAAACCCUGUAUGAA
rnacentral:rRNA from 1 species